rnacentral:lncRNA from 1 species
GUCUGAUGUACAGCUGGGCCAUGAAAACUAAGUGCAAGGCGUGCUCAAAAACAUUAGCAUCUGGAGGAUCUAAACAAAAGAGCAAUAGGAAGUGCUCUGUUGCAUUUUGGGUUACUUUCACAAAAAGAAGGUUGUUCUGCAGUUUGUGGAUCUGAUUUGUGGUUCAUGCACUACCUUGAAGGAGAAAUGAACUCUUUCAUGUCAUGAUGUUUGCAACUGCACACCGUUGCAGUGAGCUUCAUUCAUGGAACCCAAUGGAGUAUACAGUUUUAUAUGCAACCAAGGUUGUUUUACUGUAUGGGCUGCAGGACCUCGAGGGGAUCCUUCCGGGGCUCUGAAUUGUGGAAAGUUUACGUGCAUGUUCUAAUUUAUCCUUCAGCUGAGUCAGGUGGAAAAAUACUGCAGGUGAACAUAAUACUGUUUUGUCACUAG